UACGUAGGGUGCGAGCGUUGUCCGGAAUUAUUGGGCGUAAAGAGCUCGUAGGCGGUCUGUCGCGUCGGUCGUGAAAACUUGGGGCUUAACCCUGAGCUUGCGGUCGAUACGGGCAUGACUGGAGUUCGGCAGGGGAGACUGGAAUUCCUGGUGUAGCGGUGAAAUGCGCAGAUAUCAGGAGGAACACCGGUGGCGAAGGCGGGUCUCUGGGCAACAACUGACGCUGAGACGCGAAAGCGUGGGGAGCGAACAGG
rnacentral:rRNA from 1 species